CCGGUAUCCAGACUUUAGACUCUCCGGGUGACUCUCCUCGUGCGCUCCGCCCCUGCCUCCUUGUAUAUGAGCGCUGGACGGAAAAGCUUGGAGCGGGUUUUUUUUUUUUAUUUUUUUUGAUGCGGAGGUUGGGAGAGUGUCGGUUCUGCGUUUUGGAGAACACGUAGUGUUCAUUGAUUUGGAUUACGGAUUGUGUUCAGUCGGUUGGAUAGUUGCACUUACUUUUACGGUGCCGAUUGCGGUGAAACGCCUUCUGCAGAUUCUACCAAGGAGGGGAAUGGUAGACCGCAUGAUGGCAAUGAACCACGGACGAUUCCCCGAGGCUGUUACUGGUCUUCACCAUAACCCCUCCGCGCGCAGAAUGGGAAUGGGCCAGUUCCCCAGCGCGCUCCAGCCGCAGCCGCAGCCGCAGCCGCACGGCUAUACCGGCUUAAUUGGAGACCACAUGCAUUACGCAGGAGGGACCGUAAACGCCAGCCACGGGGUCCGGCAUGGCAUGGGCUCUGGGAAUAUAAACGGAGGACACCCGAACGGCAGUUUACCGCCGCCCGCGCGCUUCGGCUCCCAGUUUGUCGGACCUGCCGUGACCAGCCAGGGGCAGCUCGCGGCGAGCAUGCAACUGCAGAAGCUCAACACACAGUACUACAGUCAGCACGCGCACCCUGCUCAUCACCAUUACAUGCACGAGUUGCACCCUGCCAGUCACCAGUUAAACGGGACAGGGCAACAGUUCCGAGACAGUAGCACUAAGCACAGCGCGGCCGGAGCGCCCCUGACUGCACACCACAUGCCGACAGCAAUGCUGCCCCCCAACGUCAUCGACACGGAUUUUAUAGACGAGGAGGUGCUGAUGUCACUGGUGAUAGAGAUGGGUUUGGACAGGAUAAAAGAACUGCCCGAGCUGUGGCUGGGUCAGAACGAGUUUGACUUUAUGACGGACUUGGUGUGUAAACAGCAACCUAGCCGACGUCCCAACUGUCUGAUCUGUCAUGGAGUUCCUCCAUGUUAAUGCAUAGUUUCAACAAAGCAAGAAGGAAAGAAAAAACAAAGAGCCAGAUCCAGUUGUGGGAGUGAAACGUGCUUCUAGACUUCUGCUGCAGCUCAGAGCUGAGUGGAGAGAGAGAGAGCCAGGACUAAAGAGAGAAAGCGCUGCCACGGGGCCGUAUUUACACAUCCCUACCUCCGCAGCGCUGAGAAACAGCCUUCGCUCCCCUCGGGCUGAGGCACGGACAAACCCUCAGGAGUUUUUAAAGAUGUUUAAGAACACGGCCUGAGAAUCCUGUAUUCUGCACGAUGUGAGUUCAUCUGAAUCCAGUGAAGGGUUUAGAAAUACCAAAAUGCUUUAAAAUGCUUUUUAUAUGAUAACCUAGUGUCUCUUCAUGAAUAUUAGGUUAGUUUUAAAAGUGGCUUGCUUAGUGCAUUUGAUAAUUAUAUUCUUUCAUGCCUCUUAACUUAGCCUUUUUCUGUUUGUCAUUAUAAAGCUUUUUAUUGUACACACUGAAGCACAGGACUAAGGGAAUCGCAGUGUGACUAUGCUAUAUCUGUCUGUGCAGUCCAGUGAGCAAUGUGGCUUAUUGAAUUAUAAUGGUGAAUGACUUCACUUAACUUUCUAAUGAUUUCACUUUAAUUGUGGUUUCAUGCCUCCCCUGUGGUGAAGCCGACUCAUAAUGGAUGUUUCAUUACUAUCGGUAUUUACGUGUGGAAACGGCAUGUAUAUACUUCAGUACAUUUGCAAAAGAUUAAGUAAACCUUUAGAGAAAAACAACCACAACUGGUUCUGUGGUCUUAUGCCACUUCAAUUACCUGCAACAGAGCAGAGUUUGGCUUUCAGUGUCUCCUGCAACAGCAAACCUUCUGCAUGCUAUUAAGGUUCUGUUAUAGAAAGUGAAUUUAUAAAAAAAAAAAAAAAACAUUUGGACACAAUGUAUAUCGAUAAUUAAAAUGUAAAAAGGCUAACACAUCAACCCAGCAGGAGUUUUGGAACGUGAAUGUUCAUGAGAGACGACUCCUCCCUCAGGACACUCUUCCUGUAAUGUUAACAUGCUAACUCGUGUAAAAUGGCCAAAAACCGGCAGAGCAGUGAAGGUACCGGAAGACUAAACCCAGCUCACUGCUUGUUGAGAAAUUACGCUUGUAAGGUAAGCAAGGGCAAGGAAAGAUACACGAAGAUAAGAGAUGCAAUCAGGGACAAGUGGAGAACUAGGGAUAUAAAGUCAAUAAGUGCUCAAGCAAAGAUUUGGAGUCAUCGUUGGACGCUCCACUGCAAAACUUCCACAUUUCAAAUGUGGUCCCAGUUUCUUAUACUCAGUAACAGCUGUGAGUGACUGAUGGUGUACAUUUGCUGAUCCAUUACUGUAGUUCUACAUUUCCUUAUACAAGCCUGCCUUAUACAAGAUUACCAACCUGAAACGUUGAUUCUUAACUCAAUGUUCAUGACAGCAGUGGGUGCAGUAGGCGGGGAUUUGUUGUAGAAGCUUUUUUAUUAUAGAUUUUUAAGUACUAUCUACAUACUGAUAGCAAUCAAUGAAUCAAAUAAUCUGAUUAUAAAAAAUAAAAUAAAAUUUGUCAGUUUCAGAACUGUAAAAAAAAUUGAAUUUGGACCAAUUAAAAUAAGUGGAGGGCAUACCUGCCUA